CCCACCUUCAUCAGCUAAUGUCUGUGGAAGGAGCAGGCAUCCAGAAGUUCUGAGGUGGUAAGCAUGGCCUAAAGUUAGC